rnacentral:rRNA from 1 species
UACGAGAGGGUGCAAGCGUUAAUCGGAAUUACUGGGCGUAAAGCGUGCGUAGGCGGUUUGUUAAGUCUGUCGUGAAAGCCCUGGGCUCAACCUGGGAAUUGCGAUGGAUACUGGCAGCUAGAGUACGGUAGAGGAUGGUGGAAUUCCCGGUGUAGUGGUGAAAUGCGUAGAGAUCGGGAGGAACACCCGUGGCGAAGGCGGCCAUCUGGACCAGUACUGACGCUGAGGCACGAAAGCGUGGGGAGCAAACAGG